UACGAAGGGAGCUAGCGUUGUUCGGAAUCACUGGGCGUAAAGCGCACGUAGGCGGAUGUGUCAGUCAGGGGUGAAAUCCCGGAGCUCAACUUCGGAACUGCCUUUGAUACAGCACGUCUUGAGUCCGAUAGAGGUGGGUGGAAUUCCUAGUGUAGAGGUGAAAUUCGUAGAUAUUAGGAAGAACACCGGUGGCGAAGGCGGCCCACUGGAUCGGUACUGACGCUGAGGUGCGAAAGCGUGGGGAUCAAACAGG
rnacentral:rRNA from 1 species